UACGUAGGGUGCAAGCGUUGUCCGGAAUUAUUGGGCGUAAAGAGCUCGUAGGCGGUUCGUCACGUCGGCUGUGAAAUCCCGAGGCUCAACCUCGGGUCUGCAGUCGAUACGGGCGGACUGGAGUACUGCAGGGGAGACUGGAAUUCCUGGUGUAGCGGUGAAAUGCGCAGAUAUCAGGAGGAACACCGGUGGCGAAGGCGGGUCUCUGGGCAGUAACUGACGCUGAGGGUACGGGAAG
rnacentral:rRNA from 1 species